UCCAGGUUAGCCUGGCGGUCUCGUAUGAAAAAUUCAACAUACGACAAGGGUUGCGCUCGUUUACGGACUUAACCGUACACUUCACAGCACGAGCUGACGACAGCCGUGCAACAUCUGUCACCUGGUUCCUUGCGGCACGGUCCCGUUUCUGGGACUUUCCAGGGAUGUCAAACCUCGGUAAGGUUCUUCGGUUACCGUCGAAUUAAACCACAUGCUCCACCGCUUGUGCGGGUCCCCGUCAAUUCCUUUGAGUUUUAGCCUUGCGGCCGUACUACCCAGGCGGCUGACUUAACGCGUUAGCUACGGUACACAACGGGUCGAUACGUCAUAUACCUAGUCAGCAUCGUUUAGGGCGUGGACUAC
rnacentral:misc_RNA from 1 species